rnacentral:rRNA from 1 species
GACGAACGCUGGCGGCGUGCCUAAUACAUGCAAGUCGAACGCAGUGGGGACGGGUGAGUAACACGUGGGUAACCUCCCAUCAGAGGGGAUAACACUUGGAAACAGGUGCUAAACCGCUACUGAUGGAUGGACCCGCGGUGCAUUGGCUAGUUGGUGCGGUAACGGCUCACCAAGGCCACGAUGCAUAGCUGGCCUUGGAGGGUGAUCGGCCACUCGGGGAUGGAGACACGGCCCUGACUCCUACGGGAGGAAGCAGUAAGGAAUCUUCGGCAAUGGACGAAAGUCGGACCGAGCAACGCCGCGUGAGUGAAGAAGGUUUUCGGAUCGUAAAACUCUGUUGUUAGAGAAGCGGUAUCUAACCAGAAAGCCACGGCUAACUACGUGCCAGCAGCCGCGGUAAUUC